rnacentral:misc_RNA from 1 species
AGUGUAGUUAUUCUGGUAGUUUGACUGUGCACCUUGGUGAGGCAUGCCUCCAUUGUUGGGCCCAUUCUGAAAGUUAUGCUGCAUGUUCCCAGGCAUGUUAUUGGACCAUCCUGGACUUUGAGGCACUCCUCCCAUGUUAUUGGGAGGCAUGCCUCCAAAAUUGUUGUGAGGUAUUCCUCCCAUGUUUUGUGGCCCACCCAUAUAGUUGUUAGGAGGCGGCGGUGGUGGCCCACGCAUAUAGUUGUUAGGGGGUGGUCUGCCCAUAUAGUUGUUAGGUGGUGGUGGUGGCAGCCCACCUGGUCCACUCAUGUUGCUCAGUGGCACUCCAGCCAUGUUGGAUGUGGGGUUCUGCAUGCCCUGAUUGUCCAUUGGAGCUGCCCUUGUGUUCUGGAAAUCUCUGUUCUGCAUAUUUUCCCUUCUUCUUUCAUAGUUUCUUGACCUGUCAAAGUUACGAGGCCUAUCGUUGCGCCUAUUUCUCUCAUUUGCCCUGGCAUUAUUCCUCAUCCAUUCUUCAUGGUACUUCGGAUCAUAGGGAACAGCUUUGCCAUCAAUAAAUGGUUCCCCUAUAACAGGUGUAAAAGCUCAUAUCAUGCACUACAUGUAGUUGCCAAUAACAACAAAGAGCAAGUGUGUGCGUCUGCAGUGGAAUCAGUAUGACAGGUGGAGACCCAGUUAAGGAGGCACUAAAGUCUAAAGUUCACUCGACUAUACAGCGUAAAACAUUUUAGCUGUAUAAUGCAGGAAUAAGAAAUCCUAAGGUGUCAAGAUGCAGGCAGUGAUCCAUGUAUCUGUGUCCCUCAAAGAAGAAUGCAAAGCAGGCACCUUCAAUUUAGGGUGUAUGCUUCGCAUAAGAACAUGGAUUUAUUCUGUGUUAAGAGAGAAAUGAGGUGGGUAGUGAAAUCAAUUAAUAGCAUGUAGCACAUCCCGCAGCAAGCAUUGUGUUUUUAACAAACCCCACACCCAGGACCCGAUGCUCAAACACACCAAGCCAUCCUCACCCAAAGAUAUGGUUCAUAAAGCAUUGUCCGCUAAGUUCCACUGCCUUUACCCUUCCAAAUCUUCGUCACAACAUUAAUAGAAUCCGAAAGAUAUGAAUCAUAAAGCAUUGUCCACAAAGUUCCACAGCCUUUACCCUUCCAAGUCUUUGUCACAAUAUUAAUAAAUCAAUUAUAGAAUCAGUAUAACCAAGUAAAUAACAAAAUAUUCUCAAUUGCAGUUAAAAGCAAGAGUAUCAUUACUGGCAAGACCUGAAAAAUAUGAAAACCAAAUUGCAAAACCGAAGUAAAUGACAACAAUAUUCCUCUUAAAACCAAGAAAACGGAAACUAAAGAUAAUAUGCAACAGAUAUCUUCAAUUCCUAGAUGAAUAGUUACUCUACUGAAUACAGUAAUAUAGAUGGGUUUCUGCAGCACUUAUGCCAUGAAAUAAAAGAAAACACCUCACCCCCAUAAUCUUUGUUCUUAACA